AGAACGAACGCUGGCGGCAUGCCUAAUACAUGCAAGUCGAACGAACUCUUCGGAGUUAGUGGCGCACGGGUGCGUAACGCGUGGGAAUCUGCCCCUUGGUUCGGAAUAACAGUUGGAAACGACUGCUAAUACCGGAUGAUGACGAAAGUCCAAAGAUUUAUCGCCAAGGGAUGAGCCCGCGUAGGAUUAGCUAGUUGGUGAGGUAAAGGCUCACCAAGGCAACGAUCCUUAGCUGGUCUGAGAGGAUGAUCAGCCACACUGGGACUGAGACACGGUCCAGACUCCUACGGGAGGCAGCAGUAGGGAAUAUUGGACAAUGGGCGAAAGCCUGAUCCAGCAAUGCCGCGUGAGUGAUGAAGGCCUUAGGGUUGUAAAGCUCUUUUACCCGAGAUGAUAAUGACAGUAUCGGAAGAAUAAGCCCCGGCUAACUCCGUGCCAGCAGCCGC
rnacentral:rRNA from 1 species